AGAAAAUUUUACUUAGAACACGCUCGAAAUCCGUUUAUAAAAAAAAAUAUCACAAAAUUGGUCGAAAACAAGAAAAAAAUUCAAUGUUUUCAGCAUUAAAAAUUUUCUAAGCAUUCAAAACAAAAUUCCUGCAUUCAUACCAAAAGUACAAGUGUACGAAACAUCCUCCUAAAAUUUGAGCUUAAUUUGACUACUCGUUCCCUUGGAAUCCUACGGACAGUGCUCGAACACAUAAAAUAGUGCACGGAGUGUAACACAUGUACGCAGGGGCUACUAUCAAUUUAGCCUGGGUUUAAAAGUGGUUUGUCCCCUUAAUAGGACAUGGGAAUCAUGCUUGCGUUACAAACAAUAUUUUUUAUUUCUUAAUAUGAUUAC